AUGGCUAGUGUGUCAGAAGGUGGCCACUACCACAGGGGCCUGGAGGGGGAGAAGCAGGGAGCCGUGAUGGCACGCAUGGACCAGGGACCCACAGGGAGGCUCUCCGAUGGCCCCGUCCACUCCUGUUCAACUCUGGGCCUCCGGUUUAGGUCUCUGCAGGGCACAAUUCAGAGAGCAGAAGAGCGAGGCACUCAAGGAAGACGUCCACGAGGCAGGGCUGGCCUUCCUGGUGGGGAAUCAGCAAGUGCCGGAGAGGCCUCGAGGACGCACUGGCACCCCCACGAGCUCUCGGGGCAUCGCUGGGAAGGCCCAGGGGGAGGCAGGGUCACUUCGGGCCCCGCUGUGCAUCGUGCAGCGGCUUUCGCGCGUCACAGCCCUCACUGCAUGAGAAGCUGCCAGAGGCGAAAGACGCUGCGGGACCCCCAGUGCCGGGAAGAAGGCACAGCUUCGAGGGGUGGCUACUGUUCCCGGACGAAGUGGACAGUAACGGGCGAGGUGCAAGGGGCACCAUGCAAUCCACAUGCCGGUGAUCGGAAGCGGGAGGGUCAGCCACAGCCGCAGCCCGCGUCUCCCGGCUUCCUGGGACACACAGGACCCUGGGGAGCAUCGUCUGGUUCGGUCCGCACCAUGGCGAAGGAGGGAGCUGCCUCCCUCCUCCGUGAAGGCCCGGAACGGCGGACCCCCCCCUCCCCCAGCCAGCAGGGUGCCGAGCCCUCCGGUCCUCGCAGGUCCCAGCAGCAGGCAGCGUGGGGACGAGCCUCAGGUCUGAUAUUGAGCAGCACCUCGUUCCUCUGGACUGUGUGCUGGGGAUGGGAUCCGGUGUUUCCUUUGUAAAUUCCCAACUUUUUAAGAUUAAAAAUGUUAUUGUGGAAGAGAAUACACAACAUAAAGUUUCACGUCUUAAAUCUUUUUUUUUCAGUACUGGGGACUGAACCCAGGGCCUUU
rnacentral:lncRNA from 1 species